rnacentral:misc_RNA from 1 species
GAUGGCAUUUUUCAUGUGUUGCGUAAGAUGCCUACCAAUCUUAAUGCAUUUCAUUUUUAAUUCACUACUUUAUAGAUACACUACUCUUAUGGUGCUAUAAUCAUGUGUAAGUAGGUGUUGAACCCAUAUGAAAAAGAAUGAGAUUCUAAUUUGUAACCCCAAUAUUAAUUUGUGAUGUAUGUAGAUAUAUGGAUUAUGUUGUAGUUAUUUUAUUUUACUAUGUGCAAUAUGAAUGUUGUUGUUGUUGUUGUUCUAUUUCAGAAUUAUGAUGUUCUAUGUCAACAUAGCAUUAUAAAGUUCUUAUUAGCAGUUGGAAAUGUUUUAUGCUUAACAUUAGGGGUGGCAAUUUUAGACACGACUCGCGAAC